CUAGCCCUCUGCCACCCCUCCUGGCUCCAUCAGCCCCCGUCUCCCCUGGAAGGAUGGGGCUGCAUGGCCUGCCUUCCCCGCACUCCCUCACUUCCCUCUGGAUCCCAGCAACAAGUUUAAUUGGAAAAAACCAAGGCUGACUUGGAGGCAAGGCAAGGAGGCAGGGAGAGCCUGUACCAACUGACACUAUGAUCGAUUACCUGGAACUUCACCUGACACUGAAAUUAGGGUUUUUUAAUGAUAGGCUGACUCUCCCUGGAUGUGAAAUUCAAAUGAUCUCCAAAGCUUCCCUGCGACCAUCGCUUGCUGAAUGCAGUGGUACACGCCACAUGCAGAUCGUCGUCAUGGUGUAAACAAACAAGCUAAACUCUAUGAGAUUUACAGUGCCCAGCUUCGGUGGCUUCCAGUGCGGCGCAGUGAGAUAUUUCUGUACAGGCAGGCUAAGCACUUUCCAUUUUAUACCUCAGCGGCUUUAUAGCAUCUUAAGGAUUUCUGUGCAUGCCUGGCUUCACUCAGAGGGAAAAAAAUCAAGCUUG
rnacentral:lncRNA from 1 species